GGCUUUAUAGCUCACUUGGUUAGAGCGUCGCACUGGUUUUACCAGGUCACGGAUUUAAACCCCGUCGAAGCUC
rnacentral:tRNA from 1 species